UACGUAGGGUGCGAGCGUUAAUCGGAAUUACUGGGCGUAAAGCGUGCGCAGGCGGUUCGUUGUGUCGGCGGUGAAAGCCCCGGGCUUAACCUGGGAAUGGCCGUUGAAACUGGCGAACUGGAGUGUGGCAGAGGGGGGUGGAAUUCCGCGUGUAGCAGUGAAAUGCGUAGAGAUACGGAGGAACACCGAUGGCGAAGGCAGCCCCCCUGGGCUAACACUGACGCUCAGGCACGAAAGCGUGGGGAGCAAACAGG
rnacentral:rRNA from 1 species